GCUAUACAUGCAGUCGAGCGAACAGAUAAGGAGCUUGCUCCUUUGACGUUAGCGGCGGACGGGUGAGUAACACGUGGGUAACCUACCUAUAAGACUGGGAUAACUUCGGGAAACCGGAGCUAAUACCGGAUAACAUUUGGAACCGCAUGGUUCUAAAGUGAAAGAUGGUUUUGCUAUCACUUAUAGAUGGACCCGCGCCGUAUUAGCUAGUUGGUAAGGUAACGGCUUACCAAGGCGACGAUACGUAGCCGACCUGAGAGGGUGAUCGGCCACACUGGAACUGAGACACGGUCCAGACUCCUACGGGAGGCAGCAGUAGGGAAUCUUCCGCAAUGGGCGAAAGCCUGACGGAGCAACGCCGCGUGAGUGAUGAAGGGUUUCGGCUCGUAAAACUCUGUUAUUAGGGAAGAACAAAUGUGUAAGUAACUGUGCACGUCUUGACGGUACCUAAUCAGAAAGCCACGGCUAACUACGUGCCAGCAGCCGCGGUAAUACGUAGGUGGCAAGCGUUAUCCGGAAUUAUUGGGCGUAAAGCGCGCGUAGGCGGUUUCUUAAGUCUGAUGUGAAAGCCCACGGCUCAACCGUGGAGGGUCAUUG
rnacentral:rRNA from 2 species